GUUGAUCCUGCCCGGCCGCCAUUAGUGACGCCGGUGAACAAACCCGUUAAAGGUUAUUUGAUGGAUUUACCUUAGUUGUGGUUUAAUUUAACGUGACUGUUGCACCAGAGGUAAUAAAUGUGAUUAGUUCAACACGCAUAUUUUAAAAGCUUGAUCAUGUCACGUUACGGUGACUGUAAAGUGUACGUGGGUGAUUUGGGUAACAACGCCAGUAAGCCUGAACUUGAAGAUGCAUUUUCGUACUAUGGCCCGUUAAGAAAUGUUUGGGUGGCGAGAAAUCCGCCAGGCUUUGCCUUUGUUGAAUUUGAGGAUCCCCGAGACGCUGAAGAUGCGAUCCGUGGUUUAGAUGGCCGUACGAUAUGUGGUCGUCGAGCUCGAGUCGAGAUGUCCAACGGCAGCCGUGGAUUUGGAGGCCGGGGGCCUCCGCCCAGAUCCCGCCUGCCGCCUCGGCCCUACGACGACCGCUGCUACGACUGCGGAGACCGCGGACACUACGCUCGCGACUGCACACGCCGCCGUCGCCGCAGGUUAUCAUUGGCCUGUGCGCCGAGACCGAACUCUUCAGAGUCUGCACUUCUUAUUAUCUGCGCUACGUAGAUUUCACUUCGCGGCGUGUACUCCGAUGAGUCGCCCGCAUCGGUAACCCCUCUGCAAACUACGUAGCUACAGGCUACGUGCGCACGUCAAUUGUCGACUACUACAUUGAGUGUAACGUUUUCUACGCGUCGCGACGCACGUCUAAUGUAAUCACUGCGCGCACUCACCGCUCUCGGUCCCGCCGCCGCAGCCGGUCCCGCUCGCCGCGCUCGGGCUCGCGCAGCCGCUCCCGUUCCCGCUCGCGCUCGCGCUCCAAGGGGCGCUCCAUGUCGCGCUCGAGGUCUAGGUCACCAUCCAAAGAAUCCAAGA